GGGCGAAAGCCUGAUCCAGCCAUGCCGCGUGUGUGAAGAAGGUCUUCGGAUUGUAAAGCACUUUAAGUUGGGAGGAAGGGUUGUAGAUUAAUACUCUGCAAUUUUGACGUUACCGACAGAAUAAGCACCGGCUAACUUCGUGCCAGCAGCCGCGGUAAUACGAAGGGUGCAAGCGUUAAUCGGAAUUACUGGGCGUAAAGCGCGCGUAGGUGGUUCGUUAAGUUGGAUGUGAAAGCCCCGGGCUCAACCUGGGAACUGCAUCCAAAACUGGCGAGCUAGAGUACGGUAGAGGGUAGUGGAAUUUCCUGUGUAGCGGUGAAAUGCGUAGAUAUAGGAAGGAACACCAGUGGCGAAGGCGACUACCUGGAUUGAUACUGACACUGAGGCGCGAAAGCGUGGGGAGCAAACAGGAUUAGAUACCCUGGUAGUCCACGCCGUAAACGAUGUCAACUAGCCGUUGGAAUCCUUGAGAUUUUAGUGGCGCAGCUAACGCAUUAAGUUGACCGCUGGGGAG
rnacentral:rRNA from 1 species